UACGGAGGGGGGCGAGCGUUAUUCGGAAUUAUUGGGCGUAAAGGGCGCGUAGGCGGCUGUACAAGUCAAAGGUGAAAUCCCUCGGCUCAACUGAGGAACUGCCUUUGAAACUGUACGCUUGAGGCCGGGAGGGGGUAGCGGAAUUCCCAAUGUAGCGGUGAAAUGCGUAGAUAUUGGGAGGAACACCAGUGGCGAAGGCGGCUACCUGGACCGGUUCUGACGCUGAGGCGCGAAAGCGUGGGUAGCAAACAGG
rnacentral:rRNA from 1 species